rnacentral:misc_RNA from 1 species
AAAGUCGUAACAAGGUUUCCGUAGGUGAACCUGCGGAAGGAUCAUUAACACUUUUUAUUAUUUUGUUUUUUUUCUAAAACAAAAUUUAAAACCCCACAAUUUUGGAUGAAUUUAAUUAAUUUAUUUUUUAUUUUAUUUUUUUUAUUAUAACCCUAUUAUUUUGACUAACAUUUUUAUUUAAUUAUUAAAAAAUUAAAAAAACAACUCUUAACAAUGGAUAUCUAGGUUCUC